GGAAGGAUCAUUACCGGGUAUCAGGGGCUUCUGCCCCGCUCCCACACCCUCCGCAAACCAGUCCACGAUAUGUUGGCGCAGAGGCGCGCGAUGGGGGAGGCCGCUCGCCUCCCCUGUGUGUGCGCCUGCCAGCCAAAAUUUAAAACUCUGUUUUAACAUUGCAAUCUGAGUAAAGAAUAAAUUAGCGAAAAAACUUUCAACAACGGAUCUCUUGGUUCUGGCAACGAUGAAGAACGCAGCGAAAUGCGAUAAGUAAUGUGAAUUGCAGAAUUCAGUGAAUCAUCGAAUCUUUGAACGCACAUUGCGCCCCUUGGUAUUCCGGGGGGCACACCUGUUCGAGCGCCAUUUCAAACCUCAAGCCUAGCUUGGUGAUGGGCCUCGCCCUCUCUCCUUUGAUCGGGGGGGGCGUGCCCGAAACGUGUAGGGCGCCGUCGGCCGGCUCUGAGCGUAGCAAGAGUAGACCUCCCUCGCUCUGGAGUACCGCCCGGCGGUCGCCUGGAAACCCCAAUUAUUUCACAAGGUUGGCCUCGGAUCAGGUGGGGAUACCCGCUGAACUUAAGCAUAUCAAUAAGCGGAGGAAAAGAAACCAACAGGGAUUGCCUUAGUAACGGCGAGUGAAGCGGCAACAGCUCAAAUUUGAAAUCUGGCGCAAGCCCGAGUUGUAAUUUGUAGAGGAUGCUUCGGGUGAAGCCACGGUCCAAGUCCCUUGGAACAGGACGUCAUAGAGGGUGAGAACCCCGUACCUGGCCGUCGGUGCCCCCCGCUGUGAAGCUCCUUCGACGAGUCGAGUUGUUUGGGAAUGCAGCUCUAAAUUGGUGGUAAAUUCCAUCUAAAGCUAAAUACCGGCCAGAGACCGAUAGCGCACAAGUAGAGUGAUCGAAAGAUGAAAAGCACUUUGAAAAGAGAGUUAAAAAGUACGUGAAAUUGUUGAAAGGGAAGCGCUUGCGGCCAGACUUGCCCGCGGAUGCUCAGCCUGCCUUUUGGCAGGUGCACUCUUCCGUGGUCAAGCCAGCAUCGGUUUGGGCGGUCGGAUAAAGGCGCCGGGAACGUGGCCUCCUUCGGGAGGUGUUAUAGCCCGGCGUGCAAUGCGGCCAGCCUGGACCGAGGAUCGCGCUUUUGCUAGGAUGCUGGCGUAAUGGCCGUAAGCGGCCCGUCUUGAAACACGGACCAAGGAGUCUAACAUCUAUGCGAGUGUUUGGGUGUCAAACCCGUGCGCGUAAUGAAAGUGAACGGAGGUGGGAACCCUUGGGUGCACCAUCGACCGAUCCUGAUGUCUUCGGAAGGAUUUGAGUAAGAGCAUAGCUGUUGGGACCCGAAAGAUGGUGAACUAUGCGUGAAUAGGGUGAAGCCAGAGGAAACUCUGGUGGAGGCUCGCAGCGGUUCUGACGUGCAAAUCGAUCGUCAAAUUUGCGUAUAGGGGCGAAAGACUAAUCGAACCAUCUAGUAGCUGGUUCCUGC
rnacentral:misc_RNA from 1 species